rnacentral:rRNA from 1 species
CGGGGGGGCGAAGCGUUGCUCGGAAUUACUGGGCGGUAAGGGGCGUCGUAGGCGGCCAACUAAGUCAAACGUGAAAUCCCUCGGCUUAACCGGGGAACGUGCGCUUGAUACUGGAUGGCUUGAGAUUGGGAGGAGGGAUGCGGAAUUCCAGGUGUAGCGGUGAAAUGCGUAGAUAUCUGGAGGAACACCGGUGGCGAAGGCGGCAUCCUGGACCAACACUGACGCUGAGUGAGCGAAAGCCAGGGGAGCAAACGGGAUUAGAUACCCCGGUAGUCCUGGCCCUAAACGAUGAAUGCUUGGUGUGGCGGGUAUCGAUCCCUGCCGUGCCGAAGCUAACGCAUUAAGCAUUCCGCCUGGGGAGUACGGUCGCGAGGCUG